rnacentral:misc_RNA from 1 species
AAUUCUCAACUGCCCCGGGCUUUGCGGCUUGUGGGUGAAGUUGGACUUGGAGGUAUGCUGGCGCAUGAAUGGGCUUUGUGCCUUGUUGUGCUUGUCGGCUCCUCUCGAAUGCAUGAGCUUUCCAAUCCUUGGCAAAGUAUCGUCGAUGUGAUAAUUAUCUGCGUCGCCCGAGAAAGCCUAACAGGGGAAAUCUUUGAUCACGUUGGGGCGACCCACGUCUGACAA